UUCAGGCAGUUGCUUGGCUAGAGUCUUGUAGAGACAAUCACCAGCCAUACAUGGUCGAAUGUCGAUUUACUUGAUGCCAAUGAUGUGCAUGGAUAUGUAAUGUGCACAUAAGUUUUUAAGGAUAAUGAAUUAUCUCCGGAUUAAUUUUGUAAUUUUUAGUGUUUUGUUUCUAGCCACAAGUCUAGCCAAUACUCAGGAUAAUGAUCUUCUUAGAUGUCCAGAAGAUUGGUCCAGGAAUGGAAUUCGGUGUUAUAGAUAUUUUAAUCUUCGUCAUUCGUGGAAGAGAGCCGCUGAAAUCUGCCGCAGGUA